rnacentral:lncRNA from 1 species
AUAAUCAAGGCAAUCUUAAGCAAAAAACAUAAAGCUGGAGGCAUCACACGUAAAACAAACAAACCCAUAAAAAAGUGGGCAAAGAACAUGUACAGACACUUUUCAAAAGAAGAGCUACAUACAGCCAACAAUCAUAUAAAAAAAGCCCAACAUCACUGAUCAUUAGAGAAAUGCAAAUCAAAACUACGAGAUACCAUCUCACACCAGAAUACCAUAAUUUCUGAUAAAAUGUUUGUUAAAUGAACUCAAUGCAUUGGACAAAAAUUUCCUGUUGCUUUUCUUUCAAAGUACAUAAAUUGAUGCUACUUUUUCCACCUUUCUCACAUUUAGUAGUGCGAUUGCUGGAUGAAAUGCUAGUUCUACUUCUAGUUAUUUAAGGAAUCUCCAUACUGUUUUCCAUAUGGGUGGUACUAGUUGAGCUACAAACAGACACUCUGCAAUAAGAUUACAGACACCACACCAUAGGGGUACAUAACCAGCUGGGAAAAGAAAGGAGGUGUUAGCAAACCCCAUCAUCUCAGCCCAAAAUCUCCUUAAAAUUGUCGGAUACACAAAAGUGAAAUGAUAAUAGAAAACUAAGCAUCAAAAGAAAGAAACAACUUCUGAAACUUUGUGCAAAUAAAUUUGAAAACAUAAAAAUAUAUGAGUUUCAUUUUAUGUAAAUAUAAAUAAACAAUUCCAGCAAAGAGAAAAUAACAUUGAAAAAUCAAAGACCAAAUUUAUAUAUGAAUAUCGAAGCAAAAAACCUUAGAUAAAUGAUACACAUAAUCAAUGAAAAGAACAAUAUAACUAAUUAGGGCAUCUUAGGAUAAUGUAAAAAACAAUACAAUAAAAUCCAUUAAGAUGAAUCAUAUUAUUGACCUAAAGAAAAUAACAACUAUAAGUAUUCUAUAUAUUUCAUAUGUAAUAAAAGCACUCACAAAAGAAUCCAUAAAUCUUUUAAAUAAAACAUUCUUAAUAAAAUAGCAAUAGAAUAAUGAUAUAUUUAAGUUUCUGGAUUGAUUAAAAAUGUUUUUCUCAUUAAAAUGAGAAAAAGAUGAAGAUGCUAUAAUUUGUCAAUAUUAAGCACUAAUAUUAAACAACAGUAGGAAAUAGCUGAUAUAAGCAGAUGAGAGAAAUACAUAUAGAAAUUCUGAAUAAUUAUUCAAGUGUGCCUAUUCUUUUCUUUCUCUUGUAUUUGACAAAUGUGACUGUAUCUACUUGCAAAUAUAAAUAUAAAAUAUUUCAUUAUAAUUAACAACCCCCCCAGCAUUUAUAUGAGUUAUAUGUACUAAUGUGUGGAUGUCUAAAUACAAUAGACUCUUAAUUAAUUAGACAAUGACAACCAAACACAAGACAUUCGUAGCAGGAAAAAAAUUCCAAGAUAAUUUGAACAUAUAUAUUAAUAUUGAAAAAAUACAAACUGCAAAAAACACAAGUUAAA